UUCCAAUUAAAAUGACUUUUUAAGCUCCACAAGCUCAUUCAAGGAAUGGUAGGUAGAGCCACCCUUCAUACUGAAAUCUAUUUUCUCCUUCAACUCCCUGGCCCUCACCCUCAUUCCCUUCCCCUCCUCAUCUACCAUAAGUUUUCUAACAGCUCUCUCUAUCUCUCCCCUCUCUAAUUACAUACCUUGCAUGCACCUUCUGAUCGCUAAAGCACGGCCUGCAUAACAUCGGAAACCCUUCAGAAAUACUUUUCAGGGUUGAGUUCCAAUCACAAUGGCUCCAAAACCCACCCACUGCCCCAUGAGCCAAAACUUACAUCUGGGGUGCCCAUUUCGCAAUGCAACCUCUUUCUCAAAUAGCCUUCAUGAGGCAACAGCUCAAUCAAUCUGAGCCAUAAAUAAGCAGUAAGAGGACUCAGGCAUUAGUCUCUUCCCCUCAUUUGCAGAGAGAGAGAUUAAUUUUAAGCACUAGAGUUUGUAUUUUGUACUGCAAUUGUUGCUAUAAUAGAAUACAGAGUGGUCUUUCAGUCCUGCAGAGACCACAUUAAGCAGAUAGGUAAGUCAAUUAAUAAUAAGUUUGCCUUUUUUCCAUAAAUUGUUUGGGACAGAAGCAUGUGGUUCUCAGGAGAGCUGGGUAUUGCGUUUCAAGAAAUAAGUAAACUUUGGAUACUCAUCUCUAAGAUUGAAAAGUAUUUUGGCUAGUUGUGGGUAGUUUUAGGAGAGGAAACUGAUCUUUAUCAUACUUGUCCUCUUUCCGUAAACAAUUGAUGACUCCUAGUAACAUGAUACUCUAUUUCUUUAUGUUAAUAAUUUUAUUUUCAUUAUUUCUUAUUAAGUUCAAGAUGAGCCAGCAUCCUCUAUUUACUUCUUCUAUAUUGGUAAGCCGUGUCAUCUUGAACUUUCCUUUAAUUAUACUUUUGAUAUAAUUCUACACCAUAAACCCUAUGCUUAAUAGUCAAUCUUUAUAAAUCAAAUGGC
rnacentral:lncRNA from 1 species